rnacentral:rRNA from 1 species
UACGAAGGGGGCUAGCGUUGCUCGGAAUCACUGGGCGUAAAGCGCACGUAGGCGGGUCUUUAAGUCAGGGGUGAAAUCCUGGAGCUCAACUCCAGAACUGCCUUUGAUACUGAGGAUCUCGAGUCCGGGAGAGGUGAGUGGAACUCCGAGUGUAGAGGUGAAAUUCGCAGAUAUUCGGAAGAACACCAGUGGCGAAGGCGGCUCACUGGCCCGGUACUGACGCUGAGGUGCGAAAGCGUGGGGAGCAAACAGG